rnacentral:rRNA from 1 species
CCUUGUACACACCGCCCGUCACAUCAUGGGAGUUGGUUUUACCCUAAGCCGUUGACUUAACCGCAAGGAGAGAGGCGUCUAAGGUAAGGCCGAUGACUGGGAUG